GUUAUUUUUAAUUUUUUUUUAAUGCAAGGGAGAAAGGCAAAAAACUGUGGCAUUUAUUUAACGUGAUCUUGGCCUUCUACCUCUUUUUUUUAGGCCUCAAGUUUCCAAGAGAGGACUUGCACUGUCUCUGCCUUCCUCCUGGGAGGAGGGAAGAUUCACCUGAUGGAUAACUCUUUCUGAAGAACUUCAUUCUUGGCAUGGAGAUGUAGAUAUUUUGAAGAUGACAUUUGCAGUUCUGCUCUAAGACCAUCAACCUGCGUACAUCAAUGUAAAAACAAAGUACCAUUCUGGUGGGAGAUACCACAUCAUGACAAGAAAGGUUAUGGAUGUGUGGGACACAUCAGGUAUGUGGGAUAGCUCUGUACCUUCCUCUCAAUUUUACCAUGAACCUAAAAAUCACACUAGAAAUUAAGGUUAUUAAUUUGUAAAAAAGAUAGUUACUGAACCUGUUAUUACCAUAUAUUAUAACCAGACACAGCCACCUUGAAAACUGGAGAUAAUUAAAGAUCAAAGUAGCAGAAUAUGGGCACUAUCUCUCAAUUGAAGUAUAUAAAAAUACACAAAGCAAGUAAUUUUAAUUGCACACUUAGGCAAGAGAGUAAUAGGUAAAAUGAAUAUUUAUCUUAUUUCACAAUUAUAGAGAGGAAAUGGGGAUUUAACACAAUAUGUAUCUAAACUGGACCAUCCCUAUAAAUAUAAAAUAUAAUGUUGAUUCUAAUUCAAAUCAUAAAUUAUUGUGCUUAUUUUAUCCAACAAUUUUACUGAAAGGUUUAUCAAAUAAGGACAAAUUAUAAUUACCUAACAUUGUCAUAGUAUCUUAUAUAUAAAUACCUGUUAAAUAUUCACCAAAAGUCAAAAAAACCCACCAUUGCAACUUAAUAUGGAUCAUGCAACUGAAACCACUCCCAUGUUAUUAUAUUAUUCGAUAUUAAAAUAAAACUUUAAGGUAACACCAAAAUUCAAGUUGGGACUAUAAUUGCUGUACAGAAAAGAUUUCAUCUAGUGAAGAGAAUACCCUUCUUAGAAAGGCCUGCUUGCAAGGCUGGGCCUUGGCUGGCAUUUGGGAACUUGGAUUUGUAGAGUUCUCAAUAUUCCCUAACUGAUAAGAGUGGCUCACUGUGCCUGAACUGUUUGUACAAACAAUGUGGUUUACUCGGAACAGCUGCUUUCCUUCUGGGCAUCUGCACUUUGGUACACGCAGGAGAGAGGAUGUCUAUGUGACUAGCCUCCGUAAAAAACUUGGGUACUGAGUCUCUAAUGACAGUCUGAUACUGGUAGACAACACUGCACAUGUGUUGUCAAAAUUUGAUGCUGGGAAAGCACAUCCAGGUAACUCGGUAGGAGAGGACUCUUGGACUCCUGUACCUGGUUUCAUUCACAUUUCACUAUACGUACUGUUUUCCUUCGCCAAUGUUGCUGUGUAUCCCGUCACUGUAAUAAAUUAAAGCCCUGAGUAAGAGUAUUUGCUGAGUCCUGUGAGUCCUCCUGGUGAACCACCAAAUCUUGGGGUGGUCUUGGGAACCCCUGACGCAACUGCAUUAUAUGAUGUUUUUAUUAUUUAAGUGUAUGUGUUAUAUGUGAUUACAAUCACAUAUUGACAAAGUGAUUUCACAGUAUUAAUACAUGUCCCUAAUCUGUUUUUCUUGAUAUUUCCCUUGGAGAUAAAUUCCUCUUUCUAUAUCCAUUUUAACAAAAGAAUAAAAGGGAUAGAUGAAACAAUGAUGUUAUAAAACAAUAUACAAUAAGUAAAAAUCCUAUUUUAACCAGAAUAAAAAAUACCGAAUCUUGAUGACUGACAAUAUGUUCAAUAGGAUGAAAGUUUCUAGCAAGAAAAUGAAAAAAAUCAUAGGCAAUUCUUGGCAACUCAACAGGGUUUAUUUUCUUUUUAUAAUAGUUGUGCAUCAAGCUGAGCCUUAGUCCCAGCUACCCAGGGAGGCUGAGGCAGGAGGAUCACUUGAGCCUAGGAGAUCAAGGCUGCAGGGUAUUAUGAUCAUGCCUGUAAAUAGCCACUUCAAUCCAGUCUGUGAGACAGACUGAGACCCCAACUCUUAAAAAAUAAUAAUGAUAAUAAUAAUAAAUAAAGUAAUUGUGCAUCAUCCAGGUAACUAGGAUAAUUGUAGAGAAAUAGCCAUUGGAUAUAGUAUGAUACUAUGCUACUGAUCACAGAGUUCCUUUAGUUUCUAAUCUUUUUCUUAAUUUCUUAUAAAACUAAAUAUAUUCACUUAGUAAAGGAAGUUCUUCAUUAAACAAAUCAAAAAGCCAAAAAUGUCACAUCCAAAUGUAGGAUGAGUUAUCUACUGUUCCCCAAAUAGUGGACUUGUUCAUUAAAAAUUAAUAGGGCCUUCAACUUAUUUGGGGCUAAGAAAGGAGUCAUCUCAUGUAGAGAUUGUUAACAGUGUGGUAAUCCAAUUGAUCACAUAUUUCAGCUAAAUCACAGAUUACCCAUUUCUGAAGAAAUAUAAUACCAUAGAAGCACUACACAUGAAAAUUGUCAGAUAAAACAAUUUGUAUUUGCCAAUCCUGAAGACACUUAAAAUCUUGGCCAAUCAUCAGUAGCAGCACUGUCACUGUGAUACAGAUAUAAAGAAGUUUAGCAUUACAAACUAAUAGAAUACCAGAUAUAGUCCAGGAUAGGUAGCCAAUUCUCUUAAAAGGAAAUCAUACACGUUCUUCAAACAUACAUAUACUACAAAUGGGUUCAAACAAUAUUUUCUUUAGGGCUGAAAUUCAACAGGAAGAAGUAAAAUCAGAGAUGUGAGAGGAAGGCCAAUGGAAAGAGAAUUACACUAACAAAAAGAAUCAGGUACUGACUUUCUAGCCAAUGUCACCCGAGUUUCCCAAAUACUGAGAAUCAGUAUAGUUAGCAUAUCACCUUAUAUUUUUCUCUGCGGUAUUAUAUUAGUUUUAUGCAAUAAAAUAUUUAAUAAUGUCACUUUCUUGAAACUCAACUGUAAAUGACUUCUGAUGAAAACUCAAAGCUCUGUCAAAACAUGGUUCUGGUAUGAUUCCAUGACAGAGGGAGGGCAUGUGUGUGUGACAAUGGCAUCCAGUGCUGCCAGAUUUUUGUUUUGGAACGCAUCCAAAAGAGCUUAUCAAGGACUUGAGUACAAAGUAAGCAUUUCCACAAGCAGCAGUUAAGAAAGACAACACUUUUCCUCACAUGAUCAUUAGGUUUUGACAGUUCUGGAAAAAUGUUGUCAUGUUUCUCACCAGUCUAGACCAUUUUCUCUGACCCUAUGUAGGUGGCUACUGCAGUUAGAAAAAAGUUAGGUAGGAUCUUGGCAGAUAUAUUCUUACAUAUUUGGAUUCCAGAAGUAUAAAUCACAAAAAUAGUAGACUGAUAACUUUACAAUUGUUGUUUUGAAUAGGCUACCACCAAAGAGCUUUAAAACGUUCAAUCCAGCCUACUUUUCAGUAAUCUUAUUUGUCAAAAUGGAUACUCUGUCCUUGAAAUUAUCACCUUUUUUUGAAUUUUUGCAAGACCACCGAAAGGUGGUCUUACUAAUAACCUAUCUAAUAGAGGAAAACAAACUAUCAAACAGAGAGUAACAGAAAUAAACUCUCAACACAGCUACCCUUUGUUUAAUUAAAACACAUGUGGCCUAACUUGUUAUCUCUGAGUUCUUUCUCAGCCUUGAAAAGUUCCUGAGUGGACAGUAGGAGCGUAAACUUCCCCUGCUACCUCAAGAAGAGACAGAAUGAGGUGCCUCCCGCUAUCAA